AUGUUAUUUUAUUCAUAUGAUGUACUAGAUGGUUUCAUGUUAUUUUAUUCCUAUGAUGUACUAGAUUGUUUCAUGUUAUUUUAUUCCUAUGAUGUGGUAGAUGGUAUCAUGUUAUUUUAUUCCUAUGAUGUACUAGAUGGUUUCAUGUUAUUUUAUUCAUAUGAUGUACUAGAUGGUUUCAUGUUAUUUUAUUCCUAUGAUGUGGUAGAUGGUAUCAUGUUAUUUUAUUCCUAUGAUGUACUAGAUGGUUUCAUGUUAUUUUAUUCCUAUGAUGUGGUAGAUGGUUUCAUGUUAUUUUAUUCCUAUGAUGUGGUAGAUGGUUUCAUGUUAUUUUAUUCCUAUGAUGUGGUAGCUGGUUUCAUGUUAUUUUAUUCCUAUGAUGUGGUAGCUGGUUUCAUGUUAUUUUAUUCCUAUGAUGUGGUAGCUGGUUUCAUGUUAUUUUAUUCCUAUGAUGUACUAGCUGGUUUCAUGUUAUUUUAUUCCUAUGAUGUGGUAGCUGGUUUCAUGUUAUUUUAUUCCUAUGAUGUGGUAGCUGGUUUCAUGUUAUUUUAUUCCUAUGAUGUACUAGAUGGUUUCAUGUUAUUUUAUUCAUAUGAUGUACUAGAUGGUUUCAUGUUAUUUUAUUCCUAUGAUGUGGUAGAUGGUAUCAUGUUAUUUUAUUCCUAUGAUGUGGUAGAUGGUUUCAUGUUAUUUUAUUCCUAUGAUGUGGUAGAUGGUUUCAUGUUAUUUUAUUCCUAUGAUGUGGUAGCUGGUUUCAUGUUAUUUUAUUCCUAUGAUGUGGUAGCUGGUUUCAUGUUAUUUUAUUCCUAUGAUGUGGUAGCUGGUUUCAUGUUGUAAUUUUAUUUUAAUUUGAUUUGCUCUAAUAUGCACUUUUUGAUGUAUGAUUGUUGCUCUGCAUAAAUUUGUUAACCUAUCCGGCAGGCUCUGAGGCACCGACAGAGUGUGAAAUUAUAGCAUAACCUUAAAUUAUUCAAUAAACCGAC
rnacentral:lncRNA from 13 species